CAACAGGUAUAGCAUUACUGCAUGUUAAAAUUCCUCUAUGCAUUUGUGUGUGUGUGGUAAUUUUUUCGCUCUAGCCUGGCAGGUUCGUAAGGCGUUACGCACCCCGGCAACCUCGGCGGCAUCCUCCGCACCUCUUUCAUCUCCCAUAAUGCCCCUCUCUGAUCCUCUGCCUGCUAAUGUUCACGGGAGGGGCUGUCAGCCACGGCUUAUUAGAGCAACCGUGUAUGUGUGUGUGUGUCGGGAGGGAGGGACUCGGUUUAAACUCCAGAGAUCGGCCAAUUAAUUUCUUCAUUCAUGUCUGAUUGCUUUGCGCCAGCGUAACAUACAAUUAUUGUAUUUGCCACUCAGGAGUAGCACUCCAUGCCCUGGACACACACACACACACACACACACACACACACUUAUCCAUACAACGACAUUUUAAGUAGUUUGGCUUUCUACUGACUCUUGCACUAAAACGAACAUGAAUGCAAGCCCUCUCUUUCGUUUCUUUUUAUUUAUAUUUUACAGAUCUUCAUAUAGAGUUUAAAGACUGGAUUCUGGUCUUAUCGUGUUCACGGUAAAUCCAUGAAUAACGCUGUUUUGCGUCAAAAUCCUGAAGCAUCCACCAACAUGAGGCAAGUUACGGGCAGGUCAUAGUAAAGGUCAACAUGCCAGGGAUGGAAAGGGACAGCUUCUGUUGCCGUGGGGAUGGUCCAGACAUGUUAUCAGCGUGUGGAAGCCGUCAAUACAUGCAAGACCUCUGUGAACGAAAGGACUCACGGACAGCCGGAAGUGUUCGGGAUACCUGUUUGGAAAGGUGCCUCUGGUUGCAAUGCAAGCAAUGACUCACUUCACCUUAAAAUUCUCUCUCUCCCUUUUUCUCUCUCUCUCUCUUUCAUUACAUUCAGUCCAUUCCAAACCUCUCAGACAGCUUCGCGUUCUGCCAUUUUUCUAUUUCUGAUUCUCUGGAUAACCCCCGUCUUCCUCUCCUAAUCGUUGCGCUCUUUAUUUCGUUUCUGUCUCUCUCGCUCAAAUUACACCCAUUACGACCCACUCCAGCUCGUGCUCUCUGUCUCUCUCUCUCUCUCUCUCUCUCUCUCUCUCUCUCUCUUUCUCUAUCCCUCCCACUCUUCACCUCACUGCAGCAAACACGCACACACACGUUCAGCGCAGCUUUUCAAGAAAGGCAUCUAUUUGUCAGCGUCUAUGCGGAGAGCUGAGACUGCUGGAGGCCUUCGUUUAUAAAACGCAUAAAUAUCUGUUAUUCUCCGAGUUUGUGCGCGCGUGUGUGUGUGUGUGUGACGAUGAGUGCCAUUUCACCUUAAAAUUAAAGAAAAGUAGAGAUUGUAUUUGACAUAUUGAAAGUGAAGCCAGUUUAUUGCAUUGACAUUUUUAUGAGAAUCGCACAGCCCUGCUCCCAAAUUCUUGUAAUUUCCUCAUUUCCAAUAUUGAUUAUGCUUUAUUAUAUAAUUGAAGAAAAUGACUGUAAAUACUGCAAAUUACCGUAAUACAGUUUUAAAUGCUAUAACUACAUAUUUUUAGUCUGUGGUCCCAAAUCUUCUGUUUUUGGAUGUCAGAUAUGAUGCUGACAUCUUCAUGGCAUUUCCUGAGAACGUUCACGAGAUUCACGUACUGUGAGAAUCCACCGACUUUGCGUGUGAUAAAGACGGCGAGAGAAAACUUUCGAGUGUGCGCUUGAGAAAAGAGAGCGAGGGAGAUGAAUUGCGAGCGUUGAAAAGCUUUCAGCAGUCUGCUUCCAUUAAGCCGCGUCGCCGUGCGCCAAUUAAGCCGCAAAAGGAACGUGAAAAAAGAACGGGAAUAAUGAUGGAGCGAGAGAGCAAAAUGGAUCGGCGGUGUCUUUGUCCUGAGUUAACCGAAUUAAAGAUCGACAAUUAAGAGGGAGACCGACAGACGGACAGCAGAGACAGGCGUCACACUGCAACCCCUCCGACAUUAGCCAUCAUCACAUACAGAUACACAAAGACACAUCGAGUUACCACUCAGUUGGUUCAUUAGUAGUUUUAAAAUGAUACAUUGCAACCCAUGUCUGUUCUGGACUAAAUUAAAUCUACACUUUUAGAUAAUAAAGAUCCUUUAAAAGUUUAUUUUCUUGUCUCCUUAGGUGAAUGCAGAGAGUAUGAAAUUAUGGAAAUUCAAGAGACAUUUGUGACCCUCAACCACAAAACCAGUCAUAAGGGUCUUUUUUUAGAUUUAUACAUCAUCAAUAAAUAAUCUUUCCAUUGAUGUAUGGUUUGUUAUUAUAGGACAGAGAUAGAACUAUUUGAAAUCUGGAAUUUGAGGGUGCAAAAAAUAUAUAACUAAAUAUAGAGAAAUAUAGAGAAAAUCGUCUUUAAAGUUGUCCAAAUGAAGUCCUUAGCAACACAUGAAUAAUGAUAAAUACAUUUUUUAUAUUUAUGGUAGGA